CAAUACCUGUAUACUAAAAGCCAUUGAAUUUUACACUUUAAAUAGAUGAAUUGUGUGGUGUGUGAAUUAUAUUUCAAUAAAGCUAUUAUUUUUAAAAAGCAUUUUGUUAGUAUUCGCUCACUACUCUCAGCUAAUGAAAUGGAAAAGACUUUAGAGGUACAUAGAAUGGUCAGUGAGAGAUAAAUAUAACAUACAAUGAGUACGUGAUUUACUACUCUGAGGAAAAUUCUCAACAUCUCUUUGAAACUCUAGGUUAGAAUGAAUAGAGAACAAAUUCCCUAUUCCAUGAAUCUGUUAACUUUGUUUAUAGUAUCUUUUGUCAGGCAGAAGUUUUAAAUUUAGUAGUCAAAUUUAUCUUUCCUUGCGCUCAGAAGCCCCUCCAUCCUCCUCCCACUUUGUUUAAUUCUCUGCUGUUGCUGUCUUGAAAGUCUUGCAUUUUCAUUUUUCACUGGAGCACACAAGUAAUGUAGUCAUUCCUGCUUAUAUGUUUUUUAGGCUUAGGUCUUUAAUUACUCUGGAAUAUUUUGGGUGUGUGUGACUUGUGUGAAAAAGAUUUAAUUAUUUUGUAUUUUUUGCAAAUGGACUGCCAGUUAUUUCAAUACCAUUUAUUUAGUAGCUAAUCCAUUUCCCAUGAUUUGGAAUGCCACCUUUCUUAUAUUUUGAAUUCCCUUGUAUUCACUGGACUGCCUCUGGAGUAUCCAUUUCGUUCUGUUAAUCUGGUCAUCUGUUCCUGUACCAGUAUCAUGAUGUUUUAAUUGCUGUGUCUUCACAAUGUUUUUCAAUAUCUGGUAGGAAAAGACUUUUGUUAUUCCUUUCUAAGAUUACUUCAACUAUCUUAUAUUUAUUUGCUUUUCUUUUUGGUAUCAGCCUCUCAAUUCCUUUCAGCUUCCAUUUGGGAUAUUGUUAGAGAUUACAUGAAAUUUAUAAAUUAAUUUUGGGGAAAAUAACAUCUGUAUAAUAUUGAGUCUUCCCAUACAAGGACAAGAUAUAUCUCUUCUUUAAUUACCUUAAGUCCUUCAGUAAAGUUUUAUCUAUUUUUUUUUUCUUAAUGGGCUUGCAUAGCAAGCAUUUUAAAUUGUUGUUUUGAAUGGGAUUUAUUUCUAAGUUUUUCAAAUUGGUGGUUGUUGAUGUAUUUAAGAGCUAAUAAUUUCUGGUUUGGGUUGUGUAUUUGACCUCCUUGCUGACAUCCUUGUAGAUCUAAUGGUUUACCUAUUGAUUCUCUUAGCUCUUUAUAUAGAGAUUUAAAAAUACAGACAAUGUUGUGUCUUUAUUGCUAAUAUUUGUUUUAUUUUGCUUUUUUUUUGUUACUGCUUUGGCUAGAAUAAAUAUUUAUUCUUAUUUUCAAUUGGGGAGCCUCUAGCAUUUCAUCAUUUAAUAAAAAGUUUAUUAUUGGUUUCUCCUAGAUUCUCUUUUUCAGAUUAAAGAAAACUUCUGUUUCUAGCAUGUUAGAGUCUUACCACGAAUGUUUUGUAUUUUAUCAAAUCCUUUUUUCUGUAAUAAUUAACACAAUCAUACAGUUUUUAUCUUUUAGUUUGUUAAUGCAGUAAUGACCUUCAUAGAGUUUUUCUCUUCUAAAACCGCAUUGUAUUUCUGCUUGUUCUUGACAUAUUGAUUAGCCAGGAUUUUAUUUAAGCUUUCUGAAACUGUAUUCAUAAGUUUGAAUGAUGUAUGGUUUUCUUUUUUUGUUUUGUCAUUGUCUGAUUUGGGUAUGAGGGUUAUGAUAAACCAAACAAUACAAUGCAAGCCUCUCUUCCACCCCAAAUAAUGAUUCUGUCUAAAAUAUUAACACUGCUAAGUUUGAGAAACUCUGUGCUAGACUCAAAAUAAACUGAGUGGCUUUCUGUUUUUUUCCGAGUAGUUUAUGUAACAUGGAAUUUACCUAUUCUUUGAGAAUAUGAUAUAAUUCACCUAAAAUGACCUGAGCCUGGUGCCUUUUAAGAGGUAGAUCUUUGAGUACCUUUUCUAUUUAUUCUUGGAUAUUCAUCUCAAUGGUUUUCUUCUUGAGUUAAUUUUGGUAAUUAUAUUUUCCUGGAAAAUUGGUCAUCUUGUUUAUUUUUAAAUUCAUUUAUAUUAAAUUUUAAUGUAUUAGAUGAAUUUUGAGAGUAAUAAUUCUAUCUUCUUUCUUUUUGAACUACAUUUUGCCAAAGAUUUGAUUGGCCGAUGUGUCUUUGAAAUUACCAGGUUUUGGUUUUAUUCAUCAACUCUACUAUUUUCUGUUCCUUGAUUUCUCAUUCAUCUUUUUAUAGCUAUAUUAAUUUCUCUUUUCUAUAUGUUUAUUUUCUUUCUCUUGUGUUUAGUUUUCUGAAUUGAAAAUUUCGGCCACUUUUUAUUGUUCUCAUUUUGUAAACAGGCAAUUAAGGCUAUAAAUUUUCCCGAGUGCUGCUUUUCUAGUAACACAUAGGAGUUAGUGUAUAGGGCACACAUGUCAUUCAUUUUUAAACUGCUGGUGAUUUUAAUUUUCGCUUUUUUACUUUGACCUAAAAAUUUUUGGAAGUGUUUUAAAAUUUCUAUGUGUAUAGAAUUCUUUGAGUUGUUUAGCUCUGUCAGGUAAUUUGGCCUUUAUGUUUUCUGUUUGGGAAUGUUUUUGAGUGCUGCUCUGUGGCCUAAUACAAGAUCAUUUGUUGUGAAUGUACAAAAAAUUACAGCUUGGUAAAUUAGUAUUCAGAUGUUAUCAUCUGCUGAGAUCCUGGUGCCUGUCAUGGCCUAAGCAAGAAGCCAUCUAUAUAGAUGGGGUUCUAUGUAACAGAUGAUAGAAACCUAAGGACUUGUGGUUACAAACGUAUCAUCCAUUCAUUUAAAGUAAACAACCAAACACUGCAUGUUCUCGCUCAUAAGUGGGAGCUGAACAAUGAGAAAACAUGGACACGGAGAGAAACAUCACACACUGGGGCCUGUCAGGGUGGGAGGCAAGGAGAGGGGAGAGCAUUAGGACAAAUAACUAAUGCAUACGGGGAUUAAAACCUAGAUGACUAGUUAAUAGGUACAGCAGGCCACCAUGGCACAUGAAUACCUAUGUAACAAACCUACACGUUCUGCACAUGUAUCCCAAAACUUAAAGUUAAAAAAAAAACCUGUUCUAAUCACUUUUAGGAACCUGUUUAACUCAAGGAAAUACAAAUACAAUUAAAGAUGCCUUUAUGCAUUAUUUGUAAUAGUGAAAAAUCAGAAAUAAAUGACUGUUGGUUAAAUAUAUGAAUAAGUAUGUGGGAUUUAAAAAAUCAUAUUUUUAAAAGAAUAUUUAAGAUUAUGGGUGAAAUUAUUCCUGGCAUCUUUAUUUAAUAAAGCAGGAUACAAAUUUGCAUAUUAUAUGAUCACAUGUUGAGAGAAACAAUACAUGAACAUUUAAGUUUUUGCAUACAAUAAAUGAUUUUUUUUUAGUUAUUUCUUGAGUUAUAUAAAAAUUUUAUUCUUUACAUUUGUAUUUCUGAAUUUUUGCAAUGAUUAUUUACCUUAUAACAAAAUGUAUGUAGUUGGAAGCAUCUUUUGCCAAAUAAUUUCUUUUGUUUAGCUUGUAUAUAAUGCAGAACUGCAACUUACGGAGGGCAGUUUAACGGGAUAUGUUAAAAUUUUGAGUAUUUAUAUUCUCUCACCCAAAAAGUUCACUGCUAUGAAUUGAUCAGAAGUUUCUUUAAAAGUACAGAAUAAUUUUACUAUCUUGUUUAUAAUAGUGAAAGAUUCAAAAAUAAUUCUAAUACUCAGUAUAAACCUAGUUAAAUAAAUUGCGUUACACAUAUAAAAAGAGAGUAUUAAAGAAGUCUUAAAAAUAAAUUGGAGCUUUAUGGGUAAUGAUGUAAAACCUGACCAAGACAUAUUAUGUGACUGAAACAAGUUGCAAAACACUAUGCAUAGUAUGAUUCCAUUUUUGUAAAAAUGGGGUGAUUACAUAUACAUACAUCACUUGUAAUGCAUUACAAUUUUCUGGAGUAAUAUAUAGGAAAUAGCAGUACCUACCCGUGAGCAUAGGGCUAAAUAUGUAUGAUUUCACUUCAUGUAUUUCUAUCAUUUUGAAUUUUUACAGAAAACAUGAAUUACUUUAAACAAAUUUUAAUGAAAAUAAAAUUUAAAAAGUAGAAAAUUAUAUCAUUGUAAUACUAUUUAUGUAUUUCCUUUUCAUGUGUGGUAGUAGGCCUACCUGUGUAAUAAGUAUGUAAAAUAGAUAGGUUCACUGCCCUUGAAGAGCUUGUUCUCUAAAAUUCUGUUUUUCAUGGAUAUAUGACAUUAAUGUUAUUAUUUUUGUGAUGGUUACAUGAUAGUUUGCUAGAGGUCAAAUGAUUAGAAUUUAGUCAUUUCUGACUUCAGUGAACUAAUGCUAAUUUAACUGAAAUUUAUCAUGUACAAGUUGGAUAAUCUCCAAGUGGGUAUUACUGGUCUCAGAAAGGAAUUAGAUGGAUUAAAAUGAGUACUAUUAGUCCAGACUUUUUAAAAGUCCAUAGUUUUUUUUUAAUCAAACAUAAUAGAACUUGUUUGCAUCAUUGUAUCUUUUAUAGUAGACAUAUAAUUAAGUUUUAGGAGAAUUUGUUGUUUAUGAUAGGUGAUAAGUAUCAUAUAAAAUUAAAAAGUUACAGUGUAAAUAUUUCAAUUUUGAGUUGAUUUGAUGUAACUGAUGAACAUUAAAAUACUUGCCAUUUCACACAAUAUUAAGAUAUAAUUUUUACUCAGUGACAUUUGCAUUUUUUGAGCAGUACUGUUAUCCUUUAUUUAAUGUUUAGCUACCGUAAAACUUUAAGUGAAAGCCAAGCUUAGAAAAGGAUGAACAAUGAACCAUUAAUUGUAGAGAAUUAUGAAACUGGAUUUUUAAAACAAUGUUUGUUAAAAUGUCAUAUUAAUUCAGCUUAUAUACCCAGCAUUUGCAUGUUUCCUCAUUUUAUUUCUGGUGUCUGAAAAUGUAUUUUGUAUACACUAAAUGUAGGUGGGUACAACAUUCAAAAUAAUACUGUCAUAAACUAAAAGUGCAAGCAAAAAAAAUUAUCUGCUAUUUAACUUAGUAGAUAGGUUAAAACCAUUGUUUAGGAUCAUUGGUAUAUAAUUGAAAUGAGUGACAUUUUGAAUGAUAAUACGAAUAUUAGAAAGAAGAAAAAAAUAAAACUAAUGGACCAAACUACUAUGUCAAACUCAUAUAUAAAAAAUAAAGUUACUGUGGGUAAUUAAAAACCUUCCACUUUUACUCCCUUUUCAAUUUAUGCAUUAGAUUUUUUCUGACUCUCUGCUACACCUGGAAGCUCUACAUUGGUAUUUGUUUUCUAUAAGUAUUUGUUUAAUGAACUGUUGAGAAUGCACACCUGCUCAUCUGUGUCAGGCGCAAUAAUGAAGGCUGGGUUUGCAGAACUGUCAGAUCAGGCUGCUGGUUCCCUUUGGCUUUGCCCUCCAUGGAGCUGGAUCCUAUGACUGUUGCAGAUCUUCCCCUCUCACUCGUGCCCCUCUUUUGGGAUUAGAUAUCUUUGCACUCUGUUUUCCACUACCAAAGCUACAUUUCUACACUCUGCCAUCAACACCUUAGACCAUCUUUGGCUUUUUAUUAUCCUUCCAGCUUCCCAACCAAUAGUGGACAGAGAAAAGAGUCCCCCAACUCUGCUCCAGUGGGAACCCCUUCAUCUGUGCUUGACAACAUCACCUUUGUCCACUGCAGCUCCUGCUUCCACAUUUAUCCGCACUCUCCAAGAGCUCUGGCCCGUUCCCUCUGAAUUCUACCAUACUCCCAGGCUUCCCUGUCGUAAUAUCAUGUGCCUCUUGCCUUUUAGUCUCUUUUGCUCCUUUUUACUACAAAACAUGUUGAACAAGUGGUCCAUGCCCCAUCUUUGUGUCUCUCCAAACCGAUUUUCAUUUUCACCCGUCUACUGAACAACUUUCUUCAGUGUUACCCUUGAUCUUUAUUUUACGAAAUUCAAAGAUCUUUUGUUCAUUAUUUCUUGUGUUGGCCUUUCCAUAGCGCUAAUGUUGCUGACUUUGCUCUUGGAGAAUUUUUUGUCCUUGUGGCUUGUGUCUCAUUAUCUGUCUUAAUUCUCUUCCACCUUUCAGUCUUCCUAGCCUUCCUUGCUGGUUACUUUUCCUUCUCUCUGACUGUGCAUGCAUCACAGACCUCCUCUCCUGUUCAUGCUCUUUUCUAUCUAUAUUUUCCUCCUUGGAGAGUUCUCACAAGCAGCAAAUAUCACCUCUACACUGAUGGCUACCUCAUCGUAGUCCUAUCCUCGAACACUAACCUGGCCACCAGUACCAUAUCCCAUCUGUGUUCAGAACUUUUUCAACCAGAUGUCCCACUACAAUGUCUCUUCUUGCUGAGAACAUGUAAUUCUUUAGGUGUAAAGAAGAUCAUCUCCAUUAAACUGGUUCAUUCAUCAAAAUUCUUUGCUUCAGCUUAUCACCACCAUCAUUCAGAUCUCUGUAAAGAAGACAACCUUUAGUAGUGAUUUAGCUGCAAACCUAGAAGCCUCACAUAAAUCAACUCACUCCAUUGUCCUUUAUGGAGUCACAUGCAGAUUUAUGUCAGCUCCCCCAGCACAGUGCCACCACACUGGUCCAUCUUACCUUGCUGGCCUUCUGCCUGUUAAACUCUUCCAGUCCCUCAGGGUCAUCACUGCCUGGUGACACUUUCUAAACACUAUAGGCAAGCAGUAAUCAUCCAGCUGUUCCUUAUGUGCUUUAACAUUUGUUUAGCUCCUGGAUCUGACUCUCAGGGCCCUCGGGAGUUUAUCCCUCCCUCUGUCUCCCACCUACUCAGCAUCACUUGACAUUUGAUCAGCUGCCUUUUCUCUCUUUUGAUAAUUUUAGUUACAGAGCCCUUUUUGUUUGAAUUGCCUGCUUCACUCCAUUCUUAGUCCUACUCACCUUUCAAGGACCACUAAAAUAUCUCUGAGUCAACAAUACCUCAAGUCAGUACUGUAAUUGAGUAUCUUUCAUUUAUAUCUUAUAUGGGGAUAAAUAAAUGGCCCCCUCACCUUCCCUCAGAAGUCUUUCCAUAUACUACCACUUCCUAAAAAAUAUUACAGUCUGCAUUUUCCUAACUGUACUGUAAACUUAAGGGUGAGAAUAUAUUUCAUCCCCUUCUCUGUCUCCCCUGGUUACCGAUAAUAUACAAAGAAUAAUUUCAAUGAGUACUUCAUGGUUAUUAAUUGUUGAAUAUCACAGUUUAAAUACUUAGCAAGUUGAGAAAAUAUAAGGAAAAUAAGAUUUCAAACAAUCUAAUUAUCUAUAUUCAGCAAAACACCAAAAGUUUCUGUUAGAUAUGACAGGGCAUCAUGUUCAUGGAAUUAAAACAGUGUUUUCUAAAUGAAAUAUAUACUGUUGAGGUAUAUGUCCUCAUGUUUCAGAGGAAACAGAGAGCCCACACUUUCCUUAGGAAUACCUUCUAAUAUUUAAAGCAUAACACUACUUUGUCGUGUACUCAUGAUAUUUAGUUUAUACCAUUAACAAAUGUUGAGACUGGGGCUAGAAGCUGAAGUUCUUAUAUCUAAUCGAACGACCUUUCCACUGCACAUUUCUGUAUAUUCAGUUCACUCAUUUGUUUAUUAAGCACACACUUAUUGAGCACCUACUAUGUGUCAGGCCAUGCUAGGCAAUGAGAUAGAGCCUUCAAAGAGCUUAGUCUGCCGAUGGAGACUGACAAGGCAACAUAAAAGUUGAAAUGCAGUGGUACAUGAAGUGGAGGAAAACUUUAUCUUAAUGUUUUGUUUUUAGACAAGGGCUUGAGGAAGUUUAAUGCUGAGGGAAAGUGCUAAUAAGGGAGAGGCUAAAGAUUCCGUCUCAAAAAAAAAA